AGUGCUUCUAAAUCGAACAAAUGACGAAGCCACAAGUUUGGUGCGGAGAAAUGUCACCAAAGAUGACGAAGGAGGAUACAGUUGCACAGCUACAAAUUCAUUGGGAAGUGAUAGACAUGAGGUGCAAGUAAAUGUCAUCGAUGUCUCUUCGUCAACGAUAUCAACUCUAAAAGACAGGCAAGAAUAUCAAGAACAGGAUUCUUACAAAGUGAUCACUUUCGCAUUGUUGCCCCUCCUGAUUCUUGCUAUAGUGUGUUUCAUCUAUUUAGGGUGCCGCAAUAGCUCUCGGCGUUCGAGCCAGGAAAAUGCUGCGAUUGUAGUAUAAAUUUCCCAAGCAUAAUACUAAUGCAUUUCCUUUUUUUAAUUUUAUUAUUUAAAAAAAUAAACAAACUGAACAAAACAAAACAAAACAAAAAGAAAA